GGAGUUCCCGUCAUGGUGCAGUGGAAACAAAUAUGACUGGGAACCAUGAAGUUGCAGGUUCGAUUCCUGGCCUUGCUCAGGGUUAGGGCUCUGGCAUUGCUGUGAGCUGUGGUGUGGGUUGCAGAUGUGGCUCAAAUCCUGCAUUGCUGUGGCUGUGGUGUAGGCCGGCGGCUGUAGCUGCGAUUCGACCCCUAGCCUGGGAACCUUCAUAUACUGUGGAUAUGGCCCUAAAAGGACAAAAUACAAAAGACCAAAAAAAAAAAAAAACUAUCAAUUUUCUCUCCUGUUUUCAUUUUAGAUUUUAGUUUACUAUUUAAAUUUGGUAAAUUAAAUAUUUAAUUUUUUUUUUUCUUGCCAUGCUCAUGACCUGAAGAAGUUUCCAGACAGGGAUCAAAUCCAAGUCGCUGCUGUGACAACAUCCUAAUCCUUAACCACUAGACCAGGAAGGAACCUCUGGGAGAUAUCAUAUUUAUUAUCUUAUAGUAUUUCUAUGCCUUUUAAAUUUAAUGUCAAAUGACGUAGAAUUUAUUUUAACGAGUUGUGAGAUACAUUUCCUAAUCUGAUUAGUCACCAAUUAGUAAUCAAUCAAUAACACCAUCAACUCUGUCAUCAUACGUGUACUAAGAACUUAGUUAUGUCUGGAGUCAACUGAUAGGGCAUGGAAAGAUGCCCUCAGCUUCUUUAAAACCAAUUUGGGGGGAUAACAUAUAUCUAGGUAAGAUCAUUAAUUAUAUAAAAAUUACACACAAGUCUAUGUGAUAAUACCAAAUUAAUUUUGAUUCCAAUAGUUGAAGAAUCCCUAGAGAAUAAAUCGUUUGGACAGUGAAGUUAAACAUGAGAAAGAAGUGGACUUAUGGAUUUAAAUGUGUUAAACAGAAAUUUCCAACAAGGUUUUCCUAAAACUCAAGUAUUCAAUAAGCUUAUACUGAGUUUCCUUAAGUAGAAUAAAUAUUUCAGUAUGAGUAAGUCAAAUUGUCCAUUUACCUCUGAUAAAGUUACUUCCUUGCAGUUGAACUAAAAUCAUAUUAGUUCAGUGUGAGACAUUAGAAAUAUUAUAAUCACUACAAGUUCUGCUUGGCAGUUCCAAUUAUUUCUAGUGACUAUAAAAAAGAAACUAAUGAUCACUUAACUUUAAUACAUUAGGUUUCCAAUAAUGAAUAAAGGCAGAAUGGAAGGAGAUUUUGGGGACAAGAGGAGCGAUUUGGUGAGAAAAGGAGUUCCCAUUGUGGCACAGGGGCAACGAAUCCAACUAGUAUCCUUGAAGAUGUGGGCUCGAUCUCUGGCCUCACUCAAUGGGUCAAGGAUCCAGCAUUGCUGUGAGCUGUGUUGUAGGUCACAGAUGCAGCUUGGAUUCUGUGUUGCUGUGGCUGUGGCACAGGGCAGCAGCUGUAGCUCUGAUUUGACCCCUAGCCUGGGAACCACCAUAUGCCAAGGGUACGGCCCUAAAAAGCAAAAAAAAAAA
rnacentral:lncRNA from 1 species